rnacentral:rRNA from 1 species
CAGUAGCCGCGGUAAUACGAGGGGUGCAAGCGUUAUUCGGAUUGAUUGGGUGUAAAGGGUGUGCAGACGGCUUAUUAAGUCGCUUGUUAAAUUCUUCGGCCUAACUGAAGGUCUGCAAGUGAUACUGAUGAGCUAGAGGGUGGAAGAGAGAAGUGGAAUUCUCGGAGUAGCGGUAAAAUGCGUAGAUCUCGAGAGGAACACCAAUGGCGAAGGCAGCUUCUUGGUCCAUUCCUGACGUUCAUACACGAAAGCGUGGGGAGCAAACAGGAUUAGAUACCCCAGUAGUCCCUGUCUCUUAUAC